UAUAUAAAGGCCAGUCCGCGAACAUAUUUCUGACACGUAACCGGUCUGUGGCGCAAAAAAGGUUGGGGACCAGACAUAACGUACACUCACGCUGACAUUCUUGCAAAUAGAAAGCGACUCAAAAGAGCAUCGCGAUUUUCUCAUUGGAGGCAGUUCGAUGGUUGGAUUUUAGGAUGAUUAAACAAACGAAAAGAAGCAUUUGCUUGAUGUUUAGGCCACCUGAGUGAAAAAGAGGAGGAGGACCAAGAAGAUGCUCAGGCAGGCGAAGAAAGUAGGCGGGGUGUCGGAGCUACCGCAGCGAUGGCAUCGAGCCAAACAAGAGGAAGUGGAGAGGAAGAGGGAGGAGCUUCUCACACUCUUCCUCACGGUCAAAGUUCAUCGGGAGGAGCAAAACUCGCGUGUCAAUCGGGCGAAGCUGGACCAGGCCUGGCGCGUCAUCCUGCAGCGGGCGCGCUCAGAACAGCUGCGCCAUGACAUCAUCGUCUUGAGACAGACGUUAGAACGACAGCUGGAUGGCCUGGACGAUAUCAUCAAGGUCCUGUCAGGUGACCUGGAGGAGGCGGAGCGUCAGUGUUGCCGCGUGCGUCGCCUUCACCUUCAUCAUGCCGAGCGUUUGCGGACUUUGCUGGAAGAGCGCGUGGCGUCUGUGCGGAUCCACUGGGAGCAAAACAUGCAAUACAUUGAUCAAGGUUUCGCAGAAGACAGUAACAACAUGGCAGUGGAGUCCCAACAUCAGCGUCGGCGCUUAGAGGAUGCAGCACUGACGUCGCGGCGGCAUGAUGAUGUCAUGCGCCAAGUGCACGCGGUGUACGGCGACAUUAUGGCAGCCCAGCGCGACGCUCAGCGUGAGCGGGUGUCGGCGCUAUGCAGCGCCGACGAGAAGAUGGAGGAGAAACGACAUGAGAAGCAGGAACUGGAAGAGGAGGUGAAACAGAAAGUGGAGCAGGCGUGCCGCCCGGCCCAACUUCUGAUGUCCAGAAACCAACGACUGAUGAAUGACACCGGCAAGGACGUGACGAGAGUGCGCAGGCUGCAGGUCGCCGUCAGCAGCCUAUGCGCCCAGCUAAGCGCCUUCCAGACAGAAACGACGUCCGACGCGGAAGCGCUGACGUCGGCGAGCACCGAGGUGGCGGCCAAGGCGAUGCGUCUUGGCCGCCACCUGACCGAAGCCCGCCGGGCGUCCGGGAAACGUCUGUCCGUGCUGGCGCUCCAGACAGACGCCGCUGCGCACAAGCUGAGGGCGCUAGUCGACAAGGGUGAGAAAGUUCUGUUCGCCACCUCCUUAUGCAGCCAGCUCGAACUCGCAACGACUUGGUGGCCAAGCAGCGGCAAAGACGACGAGCGUCCAAUAAAGACACGACCGACCGAGACGUUUCCGGAAUGUUACCAGAUGAGUCGCCUUCUCAACUGGGACCUGCUGCAGCAAGACGCGCUGGCCAAACGCUCGGAGGAGCUGCGUCGUGACAACCGUCGGCUCAGGCUUCUGCUACGCCGCUGUCUGCACGGCACGGCGCUCGGAGGAGGCCCGGCGCUCGGAGGAGGCCCCGCACUCGUCGCCAUUGAAGCAGCGCCCGUCGCGGGCGCACACCCAGUCGGGACGUCGCGCCAUAACAUCAUCGAGGCCAAUGCCGUCGUCAGAAACUCACUUACCUAACAAGGACACCUGCGGCCACGAAGCGGACUUUUACUUUGGAGGCGCCACAUGCCACGGAGCUCCUGAGCGCCUCUCGUUCUUUCUGAAACAAAUCGCUCCGAAGCAGGGACUCUGCGAUUGGUUCGGAGCCUUUGGCACACUUCCGUAGUAUGACAAGCGCUAAACUGCUACUG